rnacentral:rRNA from 1 species
UACGAAGGACCCGAGCGUUAUCCGGAUUUAUUGGGUUUAAAGGGUGCGUAGGCGGAUUUAUAAGUCAGUGGUGAAAGCCUAUAGCUUAACUAUAGAAUUGCCAUUGAUACUGUAGGUCUUGAGUACAGUUGAGGUGGGCGGAAUGUGCAGUGUAGCGGUGAAAUGCUUAGAUAUUGUCAAGAACACCGAUUGCGAAGGCAGCUUACUAGACUGUAACUGACGCUGAGGCACGAAAGUGUGGGGAGCAAACGGG